AAAAAGAUAACAGAAUCUAGGCAAAUAACAACAGAAAAUCGCUCAACGGCUAAUUAAACCGCUCAGUGGUUUUCCUCUAACCGUAGGACCGCUCAACGCCCAAAAUUGGCUCUCAGCGCUAAAAACUGACCGCUCAGCGCUAAAAACUGACCGCUCAGUGCUAAAAACUGACCGUUCAACGCCCAAAUCUGCCACUCAGCGGUUUGACUAGAGCUCAGGCGCCGCUCAGGUGUCGCUCGCGCGCUACAGAUGUUUUCAGCACUUUGUUUUU
rnacentral:lncRNA from 1 species